rnacentral:lncRNA from 1 species
AAACCAGAUAUAAUUGGUGCAAUUGAAUGUCUUAAUGGCUAAAGUAUGUGAAUACCAAAUUUAAGUCUUCCGAUCAUUAUUACUUUGUGCCUUUAAAUCUUGAUUUGUAUAAAUAAAUAUUUUAUUGAAGUACUACUGUUGGAAUGUAAGUAGCGAAGUUUGCGCCAUCAUCAUUAUUAUAAUCAAUCAUCUUUAAAGGUAGAGAUCUCGAAUUU